UGGGGAAUUUUGCGCAAUGGGGGCAACCCUGACGCAGCGACGCCGCGUGGAGGAUGACGGCCUUCGGGUUGUAAACUCCUGUCAGAGGGGACGAAAUCCCGCAAGGGACUGACGGUACCCUCAGAGGAAGCCCCGGCUAACUACGUGCCAGCAGCCGCGGUAAUACGUAGGGGGCAAGCGUUACUCGGAAUUACUGGGCGUAAAGGGUGAGUAGGCGGCUUGGCAAGUCAAGGAUGAAAUCCCGAGGCUCAACUUCGGAACCGUCCUUGAAACUGCUCAGCUUGAGGGUAGUUGAGGAGAGUGGAAUUCCCGGUGGAGCGGUGAAAUGCGUAGAUAUCGGGAGGAACACCUGAGGCGAAGGCGGCUCUCUAAGCUACUCCUGACGCUGAAUCACGAAAGCUAGGGGAGCAAACGG
rnacentral:rRNA from 1 species